rnacentral:rRNA from 1 species
UACGGAGGGUGCGAGCGUUAUCCGGAUUCACUGGGCUUAAAGGGUGCGUAGGUGGGUAUGUAAGUCAGUGGUGAAAUCUCCGUGCUUAACACGGAAACUGCCAUUGAUACUAUGUUUCUUGAAUUUUCUGGAGGUUAGCGGAAUAUGUCAUGUAGCGGUGAAAUGCUUAGAUAUGACAUAGAACACCGAUUGCGAAGGCAGCUAACUACAGGGAUAUUGACACUGAGGCACGAAAGCGUGGGGAUCAAACAGG